rnacentral:rRNA from 1 species
AAUGAACGUUGGCGGCGUGGAUUAGGCAUGCAAGUCGUGCGAGAAGUGUUUUUUGCUUGCAUUGAACACGGACAGCGGCGAAAGGGAGAGUAACGUGUGGUUACAUGCCCAAGGGUCCAGGAUAGCGUUGGGAAACCGGCAGUAAUACUGGAUAAUAUCUAAGGAUCAAAGGUGUGAUUCCGCCCUUGGAUUGGACCGCAUACUAUUAGCUUGUUGGUGAGGUAAUGGCUCACCAAGGCUGCGAUGGUUACCGGGUGUGAGAGCAUGGCCCGGCUCACUGGGACUGAGACACUGCCCAGACACCUACGGGUGGCUGCAGUCGAGAAUCUUUGGCAAUGGACGAAAGUCUGACCAAGCGACGCCGCGUGCGGGAUGAAGGCCCUCGGGUUGUAAACCGCUGUCAGUUUGGAGGAAAGGUUUGUGAAGAGCAAACCCUGACCGAUAUUCAGAGGAAGGACGGGCUAAGUUCG